rnacentral:rRNA from 1 species
GACGAACGCUGGCGGCGUGCCUAAUACAUGCAAGUUGAGCGCUGAAGGUUGGUACUUGUACCGACUGGAUGAGCAGCGAACGGGUGAGUAACGCGUGGGGAAUCUGCCUUUGAGCGGGGGACAACAUUUGGAAACGAAUGCUAAUACCGCAUAAAAACUUUAAACACAAGUUUUAAGUUUGAAAGAUGCAAUUGCAUCACUCAAAGAUGAUCCCGCGUUGUAUUAGCUAGUUGGUGAGGUAAAGGCUCACCAAGGCGAUGAUACAUAGCCGACCUGAGAGGGUGAUCGGCCACAUUGGGACUGAGACACGGCCCAAACUCCUACGGGAGGCAGCAGUAGGGAAUCUUCGGCAAUGGACGAAAGUCUGACCGAGCAACGCCGCGUGAGUGAAGAAGUUUUUCGGAUCGUAAAACUCUGUUGGUAGAGAAGAACGUUGGUGAGAGUGGAAAGCUCAUCAAGUGACGGUAACUACCCAGAAAGGGACGGCUAACUACGUGCCAGCAGCCGCGGUAAUACGUAGGUCCCGAGCGUUGUCCGGAUUUAUUGGGCGUAAAGCGAGCGCAGGUGGUUUAUUAAGUCUGGUGUAAAAGGCAGUGGCUCAACCAUUGUAUGCAUCGGAAACUGGUAGACUUGAGUGCAGGAGAGGAGAGUGGAA